rnacentral:rRNA from 1 species
UACGAAGGUGGCAAGCGUUACUCGGAAUUACUAGGCGUAAAGGGCAGGUAGGCGGUUUGUCGCGUCGGGCGUGAAAACCUUGGGCUUAACUCAGGGCUUGCUUUCGAUACGGGCAGACUAGAGGUAUGCAGGGGAGAACGGAAUUCCUGGUGUAGCGGUGAAAUGCGCAGAUAUCAGGAGGAACACCGGUGGCGAAGGCGGUUCUCUGGGCAUGAUCUGACGCUGAGGAGCGAAAGUGUGGGGAGCGAACAGG